UCUCCUAGGUUCCUUUCGCGUGCGUUUUCGGCGUGCGUUUUCUCGUAGACGUCGCUCUACCAUUCAUACUCGAUUCCUCGAGCCCGUUAACCGAGUCCUCUCGCGCCGAUAUUUCUUCGUAGCAUUUUCUUCCCCGCGAUAUAUCUGCCAUCGCUACUACUACCACCACCACUAUUCACCACCACCACCACCACGGACUCCGACCACCACCAUCUCACCACCGAGCCCCCUCCCCCUUCCGGUGCUCCGUCGUAUCUUUUCACUCCCGUUGUCUGGAUUCUCAGUACGUUUUCUCGGUGUCGUUCCGGCGGCGAUCUCGGUUCGAACGAAACCUCUGGGGACCGCGUAUAUUUUUGUGCGUUGCGCAGGGUCUCGUUCGAUCGCGCGCGCGAAAGGAAAGAAGAGGAGAGCUCGCCCAAGUUCCUCUCGAGGUCUCCGUUUUGGUUUUUUUUUCUUUUUCGCGCGUAUAUCUCGAAGCAACGCGCGAGAUCUCGAAAAUCGUUUUUUCUUUCGUUUCUUUUUUUUCUUUAUUUUUUUUUUUGUUCCCUUUUUUUUGACAAUUCCUCUCGUCGUGGUCGUCCAGGCAGCAGCGGCGACAAGCGGCAACCGCUCGCAACAGCGAACGGAACGGGCGUCCGUGACACGAUCCAGGGAAUCGAGCGAUUCCGUUGUUCGUGGUUGCAAAUACGACGAGUGCUCCGAAAGCGCGAAUAAAUGUGUCGGUCACGGUACAAGACGUGAAGCGGGGGCAUACACGGCAAGUGAGUAUAUUUUUAGUGGCAAGCGCCAAGCGCUAAGCAGAGUGGUAUAAACGGGGCGCGCAGUGGCCCGAUGAAGCGGCGUAUGUGACAUCAAAUUUCUCUCUCUUGCCACCUCGAAGACACCGAGACAUCUUGCAGACCAUCCGCGCUGUUGGUUCUCCAAUUUCCUGGAGGCCGGUGGUGUCAGUGACACCAGAGAAUAAUACGAGCUGCUAGCGUGAAGAAGUGUACAGUAGAGUUGGCUUAGGCCAACGCCGGUGGACGAGGCAAAAUGGCAACGAUAGAUGGCCGACCGGCCCAAUAUGGUAUCACUCUUAAGCAACUUCGUGAGCUCAUGGAGCUCAGAGGACGCGAAGGUGUCAAUAAAAUCAAUAGUUACGGUGGUGUGCAGGAGAUUUGUAAAAAGCUAUAUACUUCACCUAACGAAGGUCUCAGUGGAUCGGCAGCAGAUAUCCAGCAUAGACGUGACACGUUCGGUUCCAACUUAAUACCUCCGAAACCACCGAAAACGUUUCUACAGUUAGUAUGGGAAGCUUUGCAAGAUGUUACGUUAAUCAUCUUGGAAGUAGCGGCAUUGGUCUCGUUAGGUCUUAGCUUUUAUCAUCCAUCGGACGAAGAAGAACAACCUUCGAUCGAUGAUGACGAAGCAAAAUACGGCUGGAUCGAAGGACUUGCUAUAUUGAUUUCUGUAAUUGUGGUCGUAUUGGUAACCGCUUUCAAUGACUAUUCUAAAGAAAGACAAUUCAGAGGUCUUCAAAGUCGAAUAGAAGGAGAACAUAAAUUCUCCGUUAUUCGACAAGGAGAAGUUAAACAGAUCUCUGUAUCUGACAUUGUCGUUGGCGAUAUAUGUCAGAUAAAAUACGGAGACUUGCUGCCAGCAGAUGGUAUCCUUAUACAAAGCAACGAUCUCAAGGUGGACGAAUCCAGCUUAACCGGGGAAUCGGACCAUGUUAAAAAGGGAGAAGCGUUUGAUCCUAUGGUACUCUCAGGUACACACGUGAUGGAGGGCUCAGGAAAGAUGUUAGUUACCGCUGUAGGUGUUAACUCACAGGCUGGUAUUAUCUUCACUUUGUUGGGUGCUGCUGUUGAUCAGCAAGAGCAAGAAAUCAAGAAGAUGAAGAAAGAGGCUAAGAAGCAGCGGAAGAAGAAGUCAUUAACAGGAGACGAAGCUGUAGAAAUAACCGGAAACAGUCACGUGAGCGGAGGAGGCAAACACGAGGGUGGAGAGAACCAUCACGCAGCGAGCCACGGAGGAGGCGGAGAAGGGAAGAAAGAGAAGAGUGUUCUUCAAGCCAAGCUAACUAAACUCGCCAUACAAAUCGGUUAUGCCGGCUCGACCAUAGCAGUGCUUACCGUUGUCAUUCUAGUCAUUCAGUUCUGCGUAAAGACGUUCGUGAUAGACGAGAAACCUUGGAAAAAUACGUACGCUGGUGAUCUGGUGCGGCAUUUGAUCAUCGGUGUAACGGUACUGGUAGUCGCCGUUCCCGAAGGUCUUCCUCUAGCUGUCACCUUGUCUCUCGCUUAUUCCGUUAAGAAAAUGAUGAAAGACAACAACUUGGUGCGCCAUUUGGAUGCCUGCGAAACGAUGGGUAACGCAACAGCUAUUUGUUCGGACAAGACUGGUACACUGACAACCAACCGGAUGACCGUCGUUCAGUCGUACAUAUGCGAGAAGAUGAGCAAAACGAUUCCAAAGUUCUCGGAUAUCCCGAGCCACGUUGGAAACUUAAUAGUGCAAGCUAUCUCCAUUAAUUCGGCGUACACAUCCAGAAUAAUGCCCUCGCAGGAUCCUACAGAAUUGCCGCUUCAAGUCGGCAAUAAAACCGAAUGUGCCUUACUUGGAUUCGUAGUUGCCCUGGGCAUGAACUAUCAGACGAUACGAGACGAUCAACCUGAGGAAACGUUCACGCGGGUGUACACGUUCAAUAGCGUUAGGAAGAGCAUGUCUACCGUCAUCCCGAGGAAAGGUGGCGGGUAUAGGCUCUUCACCAAGGGCGCUUCCGAGAUCAUUAUGAAGAAAUGUGCCUUUAUAUAUGGUCGCGAAGGUCAUUUGGAGAAAUUUACCAGAGAGAUGCAGGAGCGUCUGGUAAAGAACGUAAUCGAGCCAAUGGCGUGCGACGGACUUCGUACCAUCUCCGUCGCUUAUCGCGACUUCGUUCCUGGCAAGGCAGAGAUCAAUCAGGUUCACAUCGACAACGAGCCGAAUUGGGACGACGAGGAGAACAUAGUGAACAAUCUGACGUGUCUGUGCAUCGUCGGAAUCGAAGAUCCGGUUCGGCCGGAGGUGCCGGACGCGAUCAGGAAGUGUCAAAAAGCGGGUAUCACUGUGCGAAUGGUGACGGGAGACAAUAUAAACACUGCACGUUCUAUCGCUCUGAAAUGUGGCAUCUUGAAGCCGAACGAAGACUUCCUUAUUCUCGAGGGCAAAGAAUUCAACAGGAGGAUCAGAGACAGCAACGGCGAAGUACAGCAGCAUCUUUUGGACAAAGUGUGGCCGAAGCUGAGGGUGUUGGCCAGAUCGUCGCCGACGGACAAGUACACGCUGGUGAAGGGUAUAAUCGACAGCAAAGCGUCCGUGAGUCGCGAGGUCGUUGCCGUGACCGGCGAUGGAACGAACGACGGGCCGGCUUUGAAAAAGGCUGACGUCGGUUUCGCCAUGGGUAUCGCCGGUACCGACGUGGCCAAGGAAGCUUCCGAUAUUAUUUUAACGGACGAUAAUUUCUCGUCGAUCGUGAAAGCAGUUAUGUGGGGUAGAAACGUCUACGAUAGUAUAGCAAAGUUCUUGCAGUUUCAGCUGACUGUCAAUGUCGUCGCUGUUAUAGUUGCUUUUAUCGGGGCAUGUGCCGUGCAAGAUUCCCCCCUUAAAGCGGUGCAGAUGUUGUGGGUGAAUUUAAUCAUGGACACGUUAGCGUCUCUCGCAUUGGCCACCGAAUUGCCUACGCCCGAUCUUCUUCUCCGUAGACCGUACGGUCGUACGAAACCGCUCAUCUCCAGGACAAUGAUGAAGAAUAUUCUCGGUCAAGCUGUCUAUCAGUUGUCCGUGAUUUUUAUGCUUCUUUUCGUUGGUGAUAAGAUGCUCGACAUCGAAACGGGGCGAGGAGUAGCACAGGCUGGCGGCGGUCCAACGCAGCACUUCACCGUCAUCUUCAACACGUUCGUCAUGAUGACUCUUUUCAAUGAAUUUAACGCCAGGAAAAUCCAUGGUCAGCGUAAUGUCUUCCAAGGAAUAUUCACCAACCCCAUAUUUUACUCUAUCUGGAUCGGCACGUGUCUGUCGCAGGUAGUUAUCAUACAGUACGGUAAAAUGGCGUUCAGCACGAAAGCUCUCACAUUAGAACAAUGGAUGUGGUGCCUGUUCUUCGGAGUCGGUACUCUAUUGUGGGGCCAAGUAAUUACGACAAUUCCUACGCGCAAGAUUCCUAAAAUUCUUUCAUGGGGCCGCGGCCAGCCGGAUGAUAUCGGUGCGAUCAAUCUCGGAGAUGAGAAAUUCGACCCUGACUCGGAUAAAAAGCCGCGCACAGGACAAAUUCUAUGGAUCCGUGGUCUAACACGACUACAGACACAGGUAAUAGGUGGCGAGUUGCAGGAACGUUUGAUACCAGUACCCUACAGCAAGAGUUCGACAGACCAAGCUGUAAGCGCUCCUCUCUGCUCUAUCUUUCUCACUUUCGCUAAAUCUAAUCUUUUACUGUCUGUCUGUCUGUCUGUCUGUCUGUCUGCCUAUCUGCCUAUCUAAUUCUGUUUGUUACUCGAUGUAUAUCGAAUAGAGAACACGUAUACAUACAUAAUAGAGCACAACAGACACGCACACAAACUUACCGUUUAUCUGUCCGUCUUUAAUUUAUUUUUCUCUGAUAUAUUCCAUUUAUACGUAUACUUCACUGUUUAUACACGAAGCUUUUCUACUUGCUCUUUAUGCGAUGCCGUUCGUUCGCGGCUGUCUGCCCUAUUUGCUACUAAACGCUUCCUUCUUUUGUCUCUUCGCUGUUUCACUUAUUUUCUUUUUUCGUACGGUACUCGUUUUACCUCUAGUCUUUCCAUUCUUUGUCAGCACGUUCCUUCUCUUUUUAACUUUAAAGAGGUGUAACGCUGUGUAACGUUAAGAAGAAAUAAUAUACUUGGUAUUUCUCCGCGUGAAAAGGCUAGAGAUUUUAUAGUACAUUUUUUGCUCUACUUGUUACGAUUUUUAUAUUAAUCCUUUUACUCCCAUUUUUUCAACUAGUUCGCCGUUUACGAGACACGACAAAAGAAAUGUACAAAUUUUACUCCUUUAUCUGUUACGUACACGCACACGAUAUAAACACUGACCAGUCGCGCACUCGAAGUAGCGCUUUUGUUCGGCCGCUUCUCUGUCUCUCGCUUGCGUCUCGUAAUUACUGUUUCUUUAUUAUUUUUUCUUUGUUCGUUUCGCGUCGCGGGAGUUUCGCGCGAGCGAUAUUUUUCUUUUCGUUCCGUUGUCGAACGAAAUUCGGUCGAAAACGAGUCGCCGACUGAUCAACGACGAAACGAAUCUGUACCCUACACGCGUUUCACUAAUUUGCAUACUUGUGACAUGGCACUACGUUUUCAGUGAUUUAGCCCCGAAUUAGUAGCUCUACGAUCUAGUUAUAAUUAGUAGCUUACACAAGGUAGAUUUUCUAGCACUUUGACGGAUAACACAGUAGGUACUACGCAUGCAUGAUGAACAAACAACAUACUUACACGCGUGCUCGAUCACGAAUGGAUGCGAGAUUCGAUUUCGCGAAGACAAGAAACGGCUCGCUCGAAGAACAUCGGUGUCGAGAAUGUACAACAGCUUAUCCGUAGAUCGAACCAGGCGUCUCUUCGUAUUUCGCAUUUCGCGUUUAUUUCUAUAUACGUUUAACAAAGGAAAAAUAGCGUUUCAAUGAGAGUUAUCGAUCCUUUUAAUCCUUUUCGAUGUUAAAAGUCUGUUUCGAUAUAAAUAAUUAACGGUACUUAAUCGUUUUUCGUCGAAGUAAGAACGUCGAUUGCAAGGCGUAAGGAAAAGCGCAUCGGCUGCUCGAUUUUAAGACCGAUCUUUUCUACUCGAUCGGACUCGGCCGAUCCUUCGCGUUCGCGGUUUCGUUAAAUAUUUCGUGAAAUUUUCGUAAAUACGCUUACUCGAGUAUCAUUGUAACAAGUAUUUAACAGUUCGUAUAGCCAAGCGAAAUAGAACGUAUGAUACGUAUCGAUUCGAAGCUUAAAGUCCGCGAAAUUUUCGCGUAACCGUCUUUGUCGGACUUUAAGCUUCCAAUUAAUAGGAUACAUUUGCUAUUUUGCACUAUUUUUAUAUCAUCGAAUCGUAUCGGACUUUCUACGUUUCAUAGAUAUUUCUUAGAUUUCAUAGAUAACCUGAUACGAUGCGUAACACGUUGAUCCGAGCGAUUGUCCUGCUCUAGUGCAUUAUAGUUUAAGAGACAAUUUCACGGUGAAAUUGUAAAGCAAAACCUCGAUUAAACGUCGACAAAUUCGUAAUCUUAAAACUGAACCGACAAUAAUAAAGAAGCGAACGGACGUUCGCUUUCUCGAUCAGUAACCGUAGAUGACUUUUUCUUUUUCAAGUAACUCAAAGUUCUUCCAGUUUCGUGUUGAAAUUUAAAAACGCGAUCUUUAUCGUUCUUUCGACGAUCUUCGUACGGUAUAAUAAAGUUUCUCGUCGCGCUCUCCUACGUGUACAGUAGAGUCAUUCGUCGAAAGAUACUUUUCUUCUCUUCGCCAUGCUGUCGACCUUGCCCCUCCCCCCGCCCCUUGUCACUCUCUCUCUCUUUCUCUCUCUCUCUCUCUCUCUCUCUCUGUUCUCUUACAAUGUCUAUAUUUUCGAAUGAUUCUCGCGGCACGAUCGAUACGACCUUUGUCCGAAACAUCGUCCGGGCGAACCUUUCGUCCGGCAUCGUGCAAGAACGACGUAAACGUCUUUGGGACGUCGACGAACAUGGGAUGUAUAGCGCUUUAUUUUUCGCGUCGAACAGAGAGGCAAACCGCUUACGACUAUUUCUCGAAAAGGAGUUUUCGAUUGUACGUAAGGUACGUUUGGUAAACGCGAAAGCAGAGGGGAGACGUAUCGCUCGUGAGACGGGGAAUCAUCAGGAGGUUAUGUGUCGACCUGUGAGCUGCUUAAAGAGAAAGAAAACGAGUGUUUUGUCGGUGGUACAACCGUCGUUGUCUCUCUGCCCCCGCGGGAGCGCGCGGUAUAGCGUGCAUGUUUCGAAUGUACCGGAGAGACGCAUUUAGUGAAACGCUAAACCGGAUAUUUGACCAGGUUAAAGAGAGUCUGACCGUCAGCCUGGUUUAGGGGACCUUUCUCCACGACGCAUCGUAUCCGCGUAGUGAACGCAUUUCGGCAGGGCCUAGACGCGCGCUACAUGAGCGAGCACAGCAGCACUAACUUGGCGGAGGUACUGAGAAA
rnacentral:misc_RNA from 1 species